GAAUCUUGGACAAUGGGCGAAAGCCUGAUCCAGCAACGCUGCGUGCAGGAUGAAGGCCUUCGGGUUGUAUACUGCUUUUGUACGGAACGAAAAGCUUUGGGUUAAUACCCUGGAGUCAUGACGGCACCGUAAGAAUAAGCCCCGGCUAACUAUGUGCCAACAGCCGCGGUAAUACGUAGGGUGCAAGCGUUAAUCGGAAUUACUGUGCGUAAAGCGUGCGCAGGCGGUUUUGUAAGUCAGAGGUGAAAUCCCCGGGGUCAACCUGGGAACUGCCUUUGUGACUGCAAGGCUAGAGUACGGCAGGGGGGGGUGGAAUUCCGCGUGUAGCAGUGAAAUGCGUAGAUAUGCGGAGGAACGCCGAUGGCGAAGGCAACCCCCUGGGCCUGUACUGACGCUCAUGCACGAAAGCGUGGGGAGCAAACA
rnacentral:rRNA from 1 species